GGGUGAGUAACGCGUGAGAAUCUGGCUCUAGGUCUGGGACAACAGUUGGAAACGGCUGCUAAUACCGGAUGUGCCCUUGGGUGAAAGUUUAAAUGCCUGGAGAUGAGCUCGCGUCUGAUUAGCUAGUUGGUGGGGUAAAGGCCUACCAAGGCGACGAUCAGUAACUGGUCUGAGAGGACGAUCAGUCACACUGGAACUGAGACACGGUCCAGACUCCUACGGGAGGCAGCAGUGGGGAAUUUUCCGCAAUGGGCGAAAGCCUGACGGAGCAAUACCGCGUGAGGGAAGAAGGCUCUUGGGUUGUAAACCUCUUUUCUUAGGGAAGAAAAAAAUGACGGUACCUAAGGAAUAAGCAUCGGCUAACUCCGUGCCAGCAGCCGCGGUAAUACGGAGGAUGCAAGCGUUAUCCGGAAUGAUUGGGCGUAAAGAGUCCGUAGGUGGUUUUUCAAGUCUGCCGUUAAAGAGUUAGGCUUAACCUAAUAAAGGCGGUGGAAACUGAAAGACUAGAGUGCGUUCGGGGUAGAAGGAAUUCCUGGUGUAGCGGUGAAAUGCGUAGAUAUCAGGAAGAACACCGGUGGCGAAAGCGUUCUGCUAGGCCGCAACUGACACUGAGGGACGAAAGCUAGGGGAGCGAAUGGGAUUAGAUACCCCAGUAGUCCUAGCCGUAAACGAUGAACACUAGGCGUUGUCUGUAUCGACCCGGACAUUGCCGUAGCUAACGCGUUAAGUGUUCCGCCUGGGGAGUACGCAGGCAACUGUGAAACUCAAAGGAAUUGACGGGGGCCCGCACAAGCGGUGGAGUAUGUGGUUUAAUUCGAUGCAACGCGAAGAACCUUACCAAGACUUGACAUGUCUGGAAUUUCCUUGAAAGGGGAAAGUGCCUUAGGGAGCCAGAACACAGGUGGUGCAUGGCUGUCGUCAGCUCGUGUCGUGAGAUGUUGGGUUAAGUCCCGCAACGAGCGCAACCCUCGUUUUUAGUUGCCAUCAUUAAGUUGGGGACUCUAGAGAGACUGUCGGUGACAAACCGGAGGAAGGUGGGGAUGACGUCAAGUCAGCAUGCCCCUUACGUCUUGGGCUACACACGUACUACAAUGCUAUAGACAAAGGGCAGCAAGCUAGCAAUAGCAAGCAAAUCUCAGAAACUAUGGCUCAGUUCAGAUUGUAGGCUGCAACUCGCCUACAUGAAGUCGGAAUCGCUAGUAAUUGCAGGUCAGCAUACUGCAGUGAAU
rnacentral:rRNA from 1 species